UUGGUUUAUAGGCAUUCUAAUCCGAAUUAGGCAACUCAGCGAGGCUUUAAAAGGGCCAGACGGCAUCCGGGGACUCAAAACACGUCAACAUGUCGUCACGUAUACUUUUCCUAGUGGUGCUCCUCCUCGUGGCCGGGACUGCCCUCUCGGCGCUGCCCAAAUUCGAUCGUGACGAACGGACGUCAUAGCCAGCCUUACCCACGGACUUAGUUGUCAGAAAUGCUACUUCAGGAACAGGCGUGGCGAGUGCGAGGCGAACUGGGCGUGUCUCUUUGCCAUGCGUCGGCGGCCUAUUAUGGUUGCAAAAUAAAGACUAGAAAAAAAAUCCCAGCAAUGAGAAGGAGCCAGCUGGGUGGUCUCAUCACCCCUUCAGCUCUUGAGAAAUCACGAACAAGAGUUAGAGUAAUUUAAGGAUGUUUUUGCCCUCCCACUGUAUAUGGGUAUCAAUAUAUCUGUAUGUAUGUAUGUGAGAUGCUGCUUUUAUAGUAUAGUAUAAUAAAUUUCUUUGUGAUA